GCGCCGGUAGUAUAAUGGCCAGUAUCCCGGCCUUCCAAGCCGGCCAUCCGGGUUCGAAGCAGCCUUUUUACUUCGUAAAAAGCCUGGGGAAAAACGUGUGGCAUUCGCUUCGCUCAGCCCCACACACGGAAAAGAAAAAAGGCAAUGAAACUCCCGGCCGGCGCA
rnacentral:tRNA from 1 species